UAACGCGUGAGCAACCUGCCUUUCANAGGGGGAUAACGAUUGGAAACGAUCGCUAAUACCGCAUAACGUCCGGAUGGGACAUCCUGUCUGGACCAAAGGAGAAAUCCGCUGAGAGAUGGGCUCGCGUCCAAUUAGCUAGUUGGCGGGGUAAAGGCCCACCAAGGCGACGAUUGGUAGCCGGACUGAGAGGUUGAACGGCCACAUUGGGACUGAGACACGGCCCAGACUCCUACGGGAGGCAGCAGUGGGGAAUAUUGCACAAUGGGGGGAACCCUGAUGCAGCGACGCCGCGUGAGGGAAGAAGGUUUUCGGAUUGUAAACCUCUGUCCUCUGUGACGAUAAUGACGGUAGCAGAGGAGGAAGCCACGGCUAACUACGUGCCAGCAGCCGCGGUAAUACGUAGGUGGCGAGCGUUAUCCGGAAUUACUGGGUGUAAAGGGAGCGUAGGCGGGGGAACAAGUUGAAUGUUUAAGAUAUGGGCUCAACUCAUAUAAGCGUUCAAAACUGUUUUUCUUGAGUGAAGUAGAGGUAAGCGGAAUUCCUAGUGUAGCGGUGGAAUGCGUAAAUAUUAGGAGGAACACCAGUGGCGAAGGCGGCUUACUGGGCUUUAACUGACGCUGAGGCUCGAAAGCGUGGGUAGCAAACAGGAUUAGAUACCCUGGUAGU
rnacentral:rRNA from 1 species